rnacentral:misc_RNA from 1 species
UCCCCGUUAUCCGGGGCGGUUUCGCUAGAGUGCCCAGCUUGACCUGAUGGCAACUAACGAUAAGGGUUGCGCUCGUUGCGGGACUUAACCCAACAUCUCACGACACGAGCUGACGACAGCCAUGCAGCACCUCCACAGCAGUUCUUGCGAAAAGGGAUAUUUCUACCCCGGUCCACUGUGCUUCGAGCCCAGGUAAGGUGGGGAUGACGUCAAGGUACGGAC